rnacentral:rRNA from 1 species
UACCAGCACCCCGAGUGGUCGGGACGUUUAUUGGGCCUAAAGCAUCCGUAGCCGGUUCUGCAAGUCUUCCGUUAAAUCCACCUGCUUAACAGAUGGGCCGCGGAAGAUACUAUAGAGCUAGGAGGCGGGAGAGGCAAGCGGUACUCGAUGGGUAGGGGUAAAAUCCGUUGAUCCAUUGAAGACCACCAGUGGCGAAGGCGGCUUGCCAGAACGCGCUCGACGGUGAGGGAUGAAAGCUGGGGGAGUAAACCGG